rnacentral:rRNA from 1 species
UUGUGAGGUUAAGCGACUAAGCGUACACGGUGGAUGCCCUGGCAGUCAGAGGCGAUGAAGGACGUGCUAAUCUGCGAUAAGCGUCGGUGAGGUGAUAUGAACCGUUAUAACCGGCGAUUUCCGAAUGGGGAAACCCAGUGUGUUUCGACACACUAUCAUUAACUGAAUCCAUAGGUUAAUGAGGCGAACCGGGGGAACUGAAACAUCUAAGUACCCCGAGGAAAAGAAAUCAACCGAGAUUCCCCCAGUAGCGGCGAGCGAACGGGGAGGAGCCCAGAGCCUGAAUCAGUGUGUGUGUUAGUGGAAGCGUCUGGAAAGGCGCGCGAUACAGGGUGACAGCCCCGUACACAAAAAUGCACAUAUUGUGAGCUCGAUGAGUAGGGCGGGACACGUGGUAUCCUGUCUGAAUAUGGGGGGACCAUCCUCCAAGGCUAAAUACUCCUGACUGACCGAUAGUGAACCAGUACCGUGAGGGAAAGGCGAAAAGAACCCCGGCGAGGGGAGUGAAAAAGAACCUGAAACCGUGUACGUACAAGCAGUGGGAGCCUCUUAAUGGGGUGACUGCGUACCUUUUGUAUAAUGGGUCAGCGACUUAUAUUCUGUAGCAAGGUUAACCGAAUAGGGGAGCCGAAGGGAAACCGAGUCUUAACUGGGCGUUAAGUUGCAGGGUAUAGACCCGAAACCCGGUGAUCUAGCCAUGGGCAGGUUGAAGGUUGGGUAACACUAACUGGAGGACCGAACCGACUAAUGUUGAAAAAUUAGCGGAUGACUUGUGGCUGGGGGUGAAAGGCCAAUCAAACCGGGAGAUAGCUGGUUCUCCCCGAAAGCUAUUUAGGUAGCGCCUCGUGAAUUCAUCUCCGGGGGUAGAGCACUGUUUCGGCAAGGGGGUCAUCCCGACUUACCAACCCGAUGCAAACUGCGAAUACCGGAGAAUGUUAUCACGGGAGACACACGGCGGGUGCUAACGUCCGUCGUGAAGAGGGAAACAACCCAGACCGCCAGCUAAGGUCCCAAAGUCAUGGUUAAGUGGGAAACGAUGUGGGAAGGCCCAGACAGCCAGGAUGUUGGCUUAGAAGCAGCCAUCAUUUAAAGAAAGCGUAAUAGCUCACUGGUCGAGUCGGCCUGCGCGGAAGAUGUAACGGGGCUAAACCAUGCACCGAAGCUGCGGCAGCGACGCUUAUGCGUUGUUGGGUAGGGGAGCGUUCUGUAAGCCUGUGAAGGUGGCCUGUGAGGGUUGCUGGAGGUAUCAGAAGUGCGAAUGCUGACAUAAGUAACGAUAAAGCGGGUGAAAAGCCCGCUCGCCGGAAGACCAAGGGUUCCUGUCCAACGUUAAUCGGGGCAGGGUGAGUCGACCCCUAAGGCGAGGCCGAAAGGCGUAGUCGAUGGGAAACAGGUUAAUAUUCCUGUACUUGGUGUUACUGCGAAGGGGGGACGGAGAAGGCUAUGUUGGCCGGGCGACGGUUGUCCCGGUUUAAGCGUGUAGGCUGGUUUUCCAGGCAAAUCCGGAAAAUCAAGGCUGAGGCGUGAUGACG